rnacentral:rRNA from 1 species
AUUGAACGCUGGCGGCAGGCCUAACACAUGCAAGUCGAGCGAGCGGCGGACGGGUGAGUAAUGUAUGGGGACUGCCCGAUAGAGGGGGAUAACUACUGGCAACGGUAGCUAAUACCGCAUACUAUCGGAUAACCUAUAUGGGACUAGCUAGUAGGUCAGGUAAUGGCUCACCUAGGCGACGAUCCCUAGCUGGUCUGAGAGGAUGCUCAGCCACACUGGGACUGAACCACGGCCCAGACUCCGACGGAGGCAGCAGUGGGGAAUAUUGCACAAUGGGCGCAAGCCUGAUGCAGCAAUGCCGCGUGUAUGAAGAAGGCCCUAGGGUUGUAAAGUACUUGCAGUCGGGAGGCGUUACCGACAGAAGAAGCACCGGCUAACUCCGUGCCAGCAGCCGCGGUAAUUC